rnacentral:rRNA from 1 species
AUUGAACGCUGGCGGCAUGCCUUACACAUGCAAGUCGAACGGUAACAGGUCUUCGGAUGCUGACGAGUGGCGAACGGGUGAGUAAUACAUCGGAACGUGCCUAGUAGUGGGGGAUAACUACUCGAAAGAGUGGCUAAUACCGCAUGAGAUCUACGGAUGAAAGCAGGGGAUCGCAAGACCUUGUGCUACUAGAGCGGCCGGUGGCAGAUUAGGUAGUUGGUGGGAUAAAAGCUUACCAAGCCGACGGUCUGUAGCUGGUCUGAGAGGACGAUCAGCCACACUGGGACUGAGACACGGCGCAGACUCCGACGGGAGGUAGCAGUGGGUAAUUUUGGACAAUGGGCGCAAGCCUGAUCCAGCAAUGCCGCGUGCAGGAUGAAGGCCUUCGGGUUGUAAACUGCUUUUGUACGGAACGAAAAGCACUGGGUUAAUACCCUGGGGUCAUGACGGUACCGUAAGAAUAAGCACCGGCUAACUACGUGCCAGCCGCCGCAGUAAAAC